UAACGAAUCUUCCGCAAUGGGCGCAAGCCUGACGGAGCAAUGCCGCGUGAGUGAUGAAGGCCUUAGGGUUGUAAAGCUCUUUUACCAGGGAUGAUAAUGACAGUACCUGGAGAAUAAGCUCCGGCUAACUCCGUGCCAGCAGCCGCGGUAAUACGGAGGGAGCUAGCGUUGUUCGGAAUUACUGGGCGUAAAGCGUACGUAGGCGGUGACUCAAGUCAGAGGUGAAAGCCUGGAGCUCAACUCCAGAACUGCCUUUGAAACUAGGUCGCUAGAAUCACGGAGAGGUGAGUGGAAUUCCGAGUGUAGAGGUGAAAUUCGUAGAUAUUCGGAAGAACACCAGUGGCGAAGGCGGCUCACUGGACGUGUAUUGACGCUGAGGUACGAAAGCGUGGGGAGCAAACAGGAUUAGAUACCCCAGUAGUCCCUGAGCGGGCUGGCAAGGCGCAU
rnacentral:rRNA from 1 species